rnacentral:rRNA from 1 species
CCUACGGGAGGCUGCAGUGGGGAAUAUUGGACAAUGGGCGAAAGCCUGAUCCAGCCAUGCCGCGUGUGUGAAGAAGGCCUUCGGGUUGUAAAGCACUUUCAGUGGGGAAGAAAGCCUUGGGGCUAAUACCCUCGAGGAAGGACAUCACCCACAGAAGAAGCACCGGCUAACUCCGUGCCAGCAGUCGCGGUAAUACGGAGGGUGCGAGCGUUAAUCGGAAUUACUGGGCGUAAAGCGCGCGUAGGCGGUCUGAUAAGCCGGUUGUGAAAGCCCCGGGCUCAACCUGGGAACGGCAUCCGGAACUGUCAGGCUAGAGUGCAGGAGAGGAAGGUAGAAUUCCCGGUGUAGCGGUGAAAUGCGUAGAGAUGGGGAGGAAUACCAGUGGCGAAGGCGGCCUUCUGGACUGACACUGACGCUGAGGUGCGAAAGCGUGGGUAGCAAACAGGAUUAGAUACCCGAGUAGUC